rnacentral:rRNA from 1 species
UUCCAGACUCCUACGGGAGGCAGCAGUGGGGGAUAUUGCACAAUGGGGGAAACCCUGAUGCAGCGACGCCGCGUGGGCGAAGAAGUAUUUCGGUAUGUAAAGCCCUAUCAGCAGGGAAGAAGAAAAUGACGGUACCUGACUAAGAAGCCCCGGCUAACUACGUGCCAGCAGCCGCGGUAAUACGUAGGGGGCAAGCGUUAUCCGGAUUUACUGGGUGUAAAGGGAGCGUAGACGGCGAUGCAAGCCAGAUGUGAAAGCCCGGGGCUCAACCCCGGGACUGCAUUUGGAACUGUAUAGCUGGAGUGUCGGAGAGGCAGGCGGAAUUCCUAGUGUAGCGGUGAAAUGCGUAGAUAUACGGAGGAACACCAGUGGCGAAGGCGGCCUGCUGGACAUUAACUGACGCUGAGGCGCGAAAGCGUGGGGAGCAAACAGGAUUAGAUACCCGGGUA